CGCCUCUACUCCAUUCUCAUAGGAGCGGGGGAGCCGUAAAAAAGGAGGAGACCACCCCGCCGGCCGGCGGUGCGGCAGUGUGGAGACCUGUCGCAAAGCGGAGCCCGUUCUGCCCGGGCUCUGCGAGGGGGUAUUUGCGGAGGCUUUGCCCCUACGGCCAACUGCAAUGGC
rnacentral:ncRNA from 1 species